CCUAGGAAUUAUUUUUAAGAGACAAUUUGCUCAUUUUUUCCACUGCUGGGAGAAACACUAGUUUACUUUUUAAAUAGCAUUUUGUUGGUAGUAUUUUAGUACAUUUAAUUUCCUAGAAAGUAAUAUUUUUCAUUCAUAUUGGUAUGCAUUUGUGUACUCGCAAGCACCUCAUGCUCCUCUUAAAUCCUACCUUGACUUAGGUCUUCGUUCCCUUACGUAGCUGGUGUUGAACUGACAUUGGUUGUCGAUGAAACACACCUUCCUGGGUACCAAGAAGUCCAGGUGGGUUGGCAGCAACAGCUCAGAUGUUGACUCCGACUCUGGGCCAAGGCACACAACGCGCGUCCAGUCACCAGCCUGCCGCAGCUGCUUUACCACAGCUCCUGUCGCGCACGCGCGGCUCGCGCGAGGCCCCUGCCGCGCAGGCGCAGCUCUCCUCUCUCUCGCUCGCGCGCGCACACUUCCGCGACGGUGGUGGUGGUGGUGGUGGAAUCCUGGCAAGCUGGGCGCUGUGCAAUUCCGCUGAAGCCUGGGGCGAGAGGUGUCCACCAGGCGUGUGCCUCUGUUGCUGCUUCCUAUGGCACCAUACAUCCUUCUCUUCUGCCUCUCUAGUGAGGUCUCAUUCAUGCGAUCUUUUAAUCCACUUGGCAGGUAAGGUUGGACCUUUCAGUUUUAUUCUGUGUAUUGGUUUUAGAUUUGAGAGCAUUUUGAAUUUUGGAUUUCUAGCUCAGUGAUCCUCAACCAGUUAAGUUUAUGAAAAUAUUGUAAAAUCCCC
rnacentral:lncRNA from 1 species